GCUCAAUUGGUUGAGCGGCCAACUCUUGAUUUCAGCUCAGGUCAUGAUCCCAGGGUCAUGGGAUCGAAUCCCGCAUUGGGCU
rnacentral:tRNA from 1 species